UAAACAUCAGAAACAACACCUUCAAGUGAAGUCUGGUUAAAGAAAAAGCAGCGAAAUUGUCAGAAUCAUUUCUCCAAUUCCCUCCCUUCUAUUGUGCGACAGUUACAAGUCAUUUGUAGAGCUGUCUGUUUAGCAAUACAACAUUUUUUUCUUAACAAUAUGCUUUGUUUUUUUCUUUUUUGUGUCUACAGAGUAAGAGACGAAUGAGAACAGGAUGGAGUUUUUUUUGUAUCCCUGUGAAACUUCAAGAGCACAAUGCACUGCAGGAAUGGCUGACCUCUUUGAGGAUUCGACAGGCUGCACUCAUGUGGCAUGCACAUGGAAAUAAGGCAACGGACCGGCACCACAGACACACAACAGGUGUUGAAGACUAAUGUUCGGCGGAGGUGGGAGGGAGGGGUCAAAGGUUGGGAAGUUGUCAUGGCGACAUUUCUUCUAGAAAAACAAACUUUUUUGUUCUUCGCUUGUAGGAGAGAAUCAAAGUUGUGAAAGUUCAGCAGCUGAUCUGACGCAUUGUAAGAGGGAAGAGAAGGCAGAUGCACAAACAAGCACUGUUUGAACGGGCAACCAAUCAGCAUGAAGCACACAGAGUGGAGGCCGGGUCAGCUGUCACAUGGAGCAUGAUGCUCAGUCUGAUCAUCAGCUACAGAAAGCACCUGUGUAGAGCAAGUGAUUUCUAGAUUUUAAUGUACUAAUAUGAAAAAGUACAUUUUCUUUAAGGAUAAAUGAUAAAACCAUUCUAUGGAGUGAUCUUUGUGCCACCAUGGUGCAAGCAAAAGU
rnacentral:lncRNA from 1 species